AGGAAUUAGUUUAAUUAAAAUUUUAGUUUUGGAGACUAAUGAUAGGGAAGUUUUCUUUAUUCCUGAG
rnacentral:tRNA from 1 species